GCAUCUGUGCAUGCAGCAUAUCAAUAAGCGGAGGAAAAGAAACUAACAAGGAUUCCCCUAGUAACGGCGAGUGAAGCGGGAAGAGCUCAAAUUUGAAAUCUUAAAGGGUUUCCCUUUACGAAUUGUAGUUUAAAGAAGUGUUUUCUGUUGAGGUUUUUGGUAAAAGUUCUUUGGAAUAGGACAUCAUAGAGGGUGAGAAUCCCGUAUUUGACCUUUACUUUCAACUUUGUGAUACACUUUCAAAGAGUCGGAUUGUUUGGGAAUGCAGUCCAAAAUGGGUGGUAAAUUUCAUCUAAAGCUAAAUAUUGGCGAGAGACCGAUAGCGAACAAGUACCGUGAGGGAAAGAUGAAAAGAACUUUGAAAAGAGAGUUAAACAGUACGUGAAAUUGUCAAAAGGGAAGCGUUUGACACCAGUGUUGUUUUUCUGAAAAUCAAUUAAAGAACUGUUUAUGCUAAGCUGUUUAGACUUUAUCAGCUAACUGUUUAGUCUUGAGCUUUUCUUUAAAUGCACUUUUCAGUUAACAAGUCAACAUCAAUUUCUUUUGCUGUAAAAAAAGCUUGAGGAAGGUGGCUUGAGAUUCGUCUUAAGUGUUUAUAGCCUCUUGCCUAUGCAGUCGGAGAGAUUGAGGUCUGCAGCGUAGAUCCUUCGGGGCUAAAUGCAUUUGUGCUAAGUUUGUAGCUUUUUAUAGACAACUUGUUGACUAUGAUUAGUCUUGUAGUUUACUCGCUUAUGUUAUUUUUACCUACGCUUAGGAUGUUGAGCGCAUGUCUCUCUCU
rnacentral:rRNA from 1 species